rnacentral:lncRNA from 1 species
AAAUUGUUUCUAUUGUAUUUAGGUUGUCAAUAUAGUACAAAAAAAUUUAUUAUACAAGUAUAAAAAAAUUCAAAAAAAAUUCGGAAAAAAAAAUUCGAAAAAAAAAUUCAAAAAAAAAGUUUCAAAAAAAAAAGAUUUGUGCAAUUCGAUGGUUGCUCGAAUGUCAAAGCCCUUGAUUUGAAAUCAUUCCUGGUCCACCUUCUGUUCUAAUCUCAUAUAAUCUCAUACACACCACACUUUUUACCCAAUUC